rnacentral:rRNA from 1 species
AUUGAACGCUGGCGGCAUGCCUUACACAUGCAAGUCGAACGGUAACGGGCCUUCGGGUGCCGACGAGUGGCAAACGGGCGAGUAAUACAUCGGAACGUGCCCGAUCGUGGGGGAUAACGAGGCGAAAGCUUUGCUAAUACCGCAUACGAUCUACGGAUGAAAGCCGGGGACCGCAAGGCCUUGCGCGGACGGAGCGGCCGAUGGCGGAGUAGGUAGUUGGUGGGAUAAAAGCUUACCAAGCCGACGAUCUGUAGCUGGUCUGAGAGGAUGAUCAGCCACACUGGGACUGAGACACGGCCCAGACUCCUACGGGAGGCAGCAGUGGGGAAUUUUGGACAAUGGGCGCAAGCCUGAUCCAGCCAUGCCGCGUGCAGGAUGAAGGCCUUCGGGUUGUAAACUGCUUUUGUACGGAACGAAAAGCCUUCUUUUAAUACAGGAGGGUCAUGACGGUACCGUAAGAAUAAGCACCGGCUAACUACGUG